CCAAGAUUCAGAGGGGGGCCAUCCUCCUCUGGCCAGGACCAGCGGACCUUCAGAGACGUUCUGCAGGGUUAUGGACGGAGCUCCGUGUCACCCAUUGACACCUUCAUGCUUGUCUCCAUGGAGUGUUUCUUUGUGGUUCCUCUGUGAAGAGCAAUGUCUCUAAUGGCUUUGAAGUAAAUAAAUCACAGGAGGUUUAUUGGCUUAUCUAGACUGACACAUUACCAAAUGCGUGUGUUUAUGAGAGGGCUUUUAAAGUCAAAGCUAAGAGUGACAGAGUCCUCCUGUAUUUGUCCUUGACUAAGGUACGGGAGGACUACCAGCCCCGUGACAAUUCUCUACAGUUUUCAUGGGCAUGUGUAUGACUUUGUGCUAAAAAAAAAAUCUUCUUAUAGAAACAAUGCACAGUUUUAUAUUAGUGUUCAGAAAACCUGAAAGUACAUUAAAGAGAAAUGGCUCCCCAUCAGAUCUUAUUCAUAUUGUAUAGUUACUGCAGGUCCAGCUCAUCUGAAAGCCUUACCUCACAGCUGUCUCUCUUCCAUGGAGCUUUAAAUGUGUCAGGAUGAAAUAUUUUAAUGAAAGAAUCUUAAUCAAUCAAGGUACUAAUGUGCCUUAACAAGAUCUCGUGUCAAUAUUUACACUCAGAUUUGUGCUUAAGAAGUGACUACUUUAUAAGCAUGGAUGCACAUAUAUUCAUGGGCAAGACACCUAAUGAAAUGACAGUCAGUCUUUAUAACAGCUGGUCACUAAAGCCAUAUGAAAACUAUAAUACAUAACUUUAGUUACUGUAGUGUUUAGUCAAAAGAUUGCGAAACAUUGGGGGUUAUGGGCAGGAUUAUGUGUGGGCAGAUCACCUGAGAACUGAGUGAAGACACGGGCAGAAUCCAGUAAAGACACAGGAAGAACCAGUGAAGACACAGGCAGAACCCAGUGAAGACACAGGCAGAACCAGUGAAGACACAGGCAGAACCCAGUAAAGACACAGGCAGAAUCCAGUAAAGACACAGGCAGAAUCCAGUGAAGACACAGGCAGAACCCAGUAAAAACACAGGCAGAAUCCAGUAAAGAUACAGGCAGAAUCCAGUAAAGACACAGGCAGAACCCAGUAAAGACACAGGCAGAAUCCAGUAAAGACACAGGCAGAAUCCAGUAAAGACACAGGCAGAAUCCAGUGAAGACACAGGCAGAACCAGUGAAGACACAGGCAGAACCCAGUAAAAACACAGGCAGAAUCCAGUAAAGAUACAGGCAGAAUCCAGUAAAGACACAGGCAGAACCUGAUAAAAUGAUAGACUAUAUAGACAAUAUAGACUAAUGAGGCACACCUCCGUUUCCAAGGGACAUGCUGAUUGGUCACGUAUAGAUGGAAUAUCACUGAGCUCAGUAGGAAUAAAUAAAAAUAAAUAAGUUAUGGAAUUGUUUGGCAGAGCUUUUAUCAGGUAAACGAAUAUUUUAUAUAUUUGUUAUACCAUAUGUUUUUAUACCAUAAAAACAUAUCUUUGCAGUACAGAAGUAAACCUAUCAACCUCAUCAUUUGCUACUUCAGUAGUGGCACAUAAAUUCAGAACUUUGUGAUCAGGUUGUAGCUGUUGUCAAAGAUGACUUUUCAUCUUUUGUGAUUUUAUGUGAAAGGAUAUCGAAAUGUACAGAAGGAGUACCUAAUGACGAAUAAAUUAACCUAUCUGGCCUAAUUUUAGAGAAAAAACACCAAACAUAGUUUAGAAUUCUCAAUGACCCUGUACCUGCUACAUAAUAUGACAUCAAAUGAAAGUUAUCCAGGCAUUUUGGUAAUGGCAAAUUUGAACAUCUCACAAGCUCAGACAGGCAGAACUAUAGCAGAAAACCCAUUCGUCCAAGCAAGGUGAACUGUGUGUCCACUGGAAGUUGCCACGUGGAUCUCUUGACUAAUCCUGUGGUGGAGGACCAAUUCAGAAGGUCGUUUACACUCACGGCUGAUGGAGAUCAGUGAUCACGCAUCCACAGGGCAGCACAUCAGGGCUGCAGUACCUUGUUCUGCACUAAUCAGAGCUUCAGCCAGAGCUUGCACUCGAGGGGCAGACUCUGCUGUCAACGUACUAACCGAGGAAGAGCGGUAAAAACCUGACAGAUAAUUAACACAGUUGCUGAAACUAAAUACCAGAGUCUGGCGAGUCUUGAUCCUGGUUAAGAGCUGACUUACAUAUUGUUUAAAGGAGGGAAGGAGGAGAACAAUGUUUGUGAAAAGCAGAAAUACACUGCAGGUGAGAGAUUCCUUUUCUGCUUUGCGUACUCUGCACUACCUCUGGCACCAUUCAAAUUUAAAAAGGAGUGAAUAUUCCUCACUAAACAAAUCUGGAAAACUCCUUAAAGCCUGCAUUCCAAAUACUCU